rnacentral:misc_RNA from 1 species
GCUGGGCUCCACGUCCUUCGUAUUCGGAUUGCUGCUAUUUCCGAGUCUCCGAAAGGUAUCAGGAACGAGACACCAUCAGAGACACCAUCAGAGACACAGGCACACUUAGUUUUCUGGUGCGGGGGAGCAGACGACGAUCCAGCGGGGUUAGCAACCGAUGAUCGUUUUGCAGGGGGGGGAGGGGACGAGGAUUUGAGAGGAUUUCGUCCUUGUACGAGGCCAUCUCUUCUUGGCGGAGAUUCUUUUUCAUUUCCGACCCGAACCAAUGGCUGCAGGAUUGAUCCCGUUUUCAUGUGACAUUCAACAAGGCUGUCUGUCACACAUGUGUGUCGUACAGAACCGCACCUGUGGUGAAGAUCAGGGACAGCUGGCUGAGACCUAGUCUUGGACUUAGGUUAGACGGACCACCAGCGCUCGAUUCCGGGGUACAGACAGCAUGUAAUGGCUCGCUGGCGUGUGGUGACAUGUCAAGGGUUUGGGAUGAGAGGGCUGGGUUGUCUUGUCAUCAAGACCUGAGCUCCUUUUGCCGUGGGGUCGACGCUUGGUCACGUUCCACAACAACGUUACCAAAGUAAAUCGAAAAGUCUCAGGCACCAUCGACAAAGAUCUGGAAACCAGACGAGAAUAACUGACACACGGGGAGACUGGGGGGAUGUUGAGUCUUGUCGAAACAGAAGGUGAUGAACCAUCUGGUCCAACAUUUUUGAAGGCAGUAAACACCAGGGCAGUGAACAUCCCGUUUGGGCGGGUGGUCCGUGGAUUCAGGCAGCUUGCCGCGGUUACUAAGGCACCUCAUUCCAGAAGAAGAGUUGCAGCUCAGCUUUUCAUCUCAUUGAAACAUGCUGUGAGACAGCUUAACCUCCUAAAACGGAUAAUUCGAGGCGCCAAAACACCUGGAUAUGGACUCUGGAAUCAGACAACAUGCCCUGGCACAAAAAGGAAGGUGUUUUCUGUCGUGGUAGUUUGCUCAAGGCAGAUGACGCUCACGAGCAGCCGCGGUCACGGCUACCGUACCACUUGUAUAGAAUUUCGGCCCGAAAAAAAACAAAUACGAGUGGGUCAAGGCGAUAUUUGCUACGAAUACUACCAUAGCAUGCACUCGUACCGGUAUCAGUAUCGCUGAUGGGCUCGACCAACAAGAUGUGAGCAUUUGAAGGAGGUUUGUCGGCUGCAGAAGUCUUGUUUGAGAUCUCAUCGCAGCGUCUCACACCAACAUCACCUCCACCGUCUCCUGCCAUUUUCGCGCGCUCAACAGAAGGACGAUCGCCAAACGUACUGCGGAUAUCACCAGAUGUCCGUCUCCAGUGCCAAUCAGAGCAUAUUUUCGAUAUUUUCGUCGCUCUCUCGAAGCGGCUAUCUUGCACGACUAUAGACGAGUAUAUUAUAGUCUGGUGAAAUUAACGCGGCUUUUAUUUUUUGCGUCUGGAGACCCCGUUGAAGGGCGGACGUGGGACGAGGGGGAGGAGGGGGGAGGCAGGGGAGGAGGACCGAUUGUCGCCAUUCUUUGGGUCCAAAAGGAACACAAAAAAACCCAGCGGUGGACCCGAAAAUUACUCUGAAAAUAACGUGGUUUGAACUCCCUAGACUUUUACCACUCUCGAGAGUGAAAUGGGGUGAUUCUGCAGCCUGAUGGACUUGCAUCAAACUUGUUUCGGUCUAUAUGCGGUGCCGUGUCACACAUGUUAACUUUAGCAAUCGAGUUUGUGUUUGUGUACCUGUGGGAGGUGUCAU